rnacentral:lncRNA from 1 species
GGGGCCGGGAUAAGCAGGGCGGGGCCAGGACAAGCAGGGCGGGCCCGGGAUAGGCAGGGCGGUGCAGGCGGGGCCGGGCGGGAGCGGCCUCCGGGUCCGGGCACGUUCUGGGCAGCCGCAGUGAUCGUACAGCGCUCCGGCCCCAUGGAGGCGGCGCGGCCGCAGCCCGCGGUGGGGCCGGAGCCGCGCGCCGAGGAGAUCGACAUGUCCUUGGGACCUAACCGUUUCCGAAGAGGGCUUGGACAGCAGCAGUUCAAUCGGAGACAAUUCAGGAAUGCUUUGCCUGGUCACAAAAGACGAGCAGCUGCUGCAUUUGAUGGAGUGAGUCCUUUAAAUCGCCAAGCAUCAGCUCAGGAGGGCACCAAGAAGAGCAAUGCUUUUGCCAAAAGCAGCAGUGGGCAGCAGGAGGAACAGCCACAGCCAUCUCCAGGCACCAAGAGAUUCAGAGCAGAUGUUGCCAGCAUCUGCACCCCAGAGAGAAGCAGGCCUUUCCUGCUGAACAGGGGAUCGGCGUUCCAGCAGAAGCGGGUGCAGCAGUGGGUCUCCAAAGCCCGCUUCCAGAGAGGGCAGAUGGCGUCUCAAAGAGAAGGGAAAUUGCCAAGGAUGAGAAGGUGGCAAGUGAAACCCAGCCCAGGAGCAAUUCUGACUGUUUCUGUGGUUAAUCCCCAGGCAGGCCAGCCCAGCCUGCCUGGAUCCAAGCACCCAUUCCAGCAAAGCCAGAGACCCCCAGCACGGGUGGCCAAGCCCCAGCCCAAGGGGGUACUGCUGAGAUUCAACUUCCGCGCCAUGGCCAACCAGACCAGCCUGACGCUGGAUGAGAGGUUCUCUAGUCUGAGGAAUAAGAGGCGCUUUACAGCAGCCAGGAGCGCCGGACGGACGGUCACCAUGCCUUAGGACCGCGUGCUCAUCAUAGGGACUGCCUGUGACAGUCCAGGCUCCAUGGCAAGGCCUCAAUAAAAGUCGCUAGAUUCCCUUUGAGAUAGCUGAU